GCCGGUCCCCCGCGUGGCGAUACCUCACCCAACUCCCCCAGGGCUUGACGGCAGCAAGGGUAAGUGAGCUCUUUCGGGUGCGCGGGGGAUCUUCUGC
rnacentral:SRP_RNA from 1 species